rnacentral:rRNA from 1 species
GACGAACGCUGGCGGCGUGCUUAACACAUGCAAGUCGAACGCUGAAGCCCUUCGGGGUGGAUGAGUGGCGAACGGGUGAGUAACACGUGGGCAAUCUGCCCUGCACUCUGGGAUAAGCCUUGGAAACGGGGUCUAAUACCGGAUAGGACACAUCGCAGCAUGGUGUGUGUGUGGAAAGUUCCGGCGGUGCAGGUUGAGCCCGCGGCCUAUCAGCUUGUUGGGGGGGUGAUGGCCUACCAAGGCGACGACGGGUAGCCGGCCUGAGAGGGUGACCGGCCACACUGGGACUGAGACACGGCCCAGACUCCUACGGGAGGCAGCAGUGGGGAAUCUUGCGCAAUGGGCGAAAGCCUGACGCAGCAACGCCGCGUGGGGGAUGACGGCCUUCGGGUUGUAAACCUCUUUCGACCGGGACGAAGGAUUCGUUUGACGGUACCGGUAGAAGAAGCACCGGCUAACUACGUGCCAGCCGCCGCGGUAAAAC